rnacentral:rRNA from 1 species
GACAGAGGGGGCAAGCGUUGCUCGGAAUUACUGGGCGUAAAGGGCGCGUAGGCGGAAUGGCAAGUCGGUCGUGAAAUCCUUCGGCUCAACCGAAGAACGUCGAUCGAACCUGCCGUUCUUGAGGAUUGCAGAGGAGACUGGAAUUCCCGGUGUAGCGGUGAAAUGUGUAGAGAUCGGGAGGAACACCGGUGGCGAAGGCGGGUCUCUGGGCAAUUC